UGAGGAAUAUUGGGCAAUGCCCGCAAGGGUGACCCAGCAACGCCGCGUGGAGGAUGAAUGUCGUAAGAUUGUAAACUCCUGUUAGAGGGGAAGAAUAGUACCGGUUGGACCGGUAUAUGACUGUACCCUCAGAGAAAGCCCCGGCUAACUAUGUGCCAGCAGCCGCGGUAAUACGUAGGGGGCAAGCGUUGUCCGGAUUUACUGGGUGUAAAGGGCGCGCAGGCGGGAUAAAAAGUCAGUGGUGAAAUCCUACAGCUUAACUGUAGAACUGCCUUUGAUACUUUUAUUCUUGAGUUCGGGAGAGAGAGACGGAAUUCCAGGUGUAGUGGUGAAAUACGUAGAUAUCUGGAAGAACACCAGUUGCGAAGGCGGUCUCUUGAUCCGACACUGACGCUGAGGCGCGAAAGCGUGGGGAGCAAACA
rnacentral:rRNA from 1 species